rnacentral:rRNA from 1 species
GGGUUGUGAGGUUAAGCGACUAAGCGUACACGGUGGAUGCCCUGGCAGUCAGAGGCGAUGAAGGACGUGCUAAUCUGCGAAAAGCGUCGGUAAGGUGAUAUGAACCGUUAUAACCGGCGAUGUCCGAAUGGGGAAACCCAGUGCAAUUCGUUGCACUAUCGUUAACUGAAUACAUAGGUUAACGAGGCGAACCGGGGGAACUGAAACAUCUAAGUACCCCGAGGAAAAGAAAUCAACCGAGAUUCCCCCAGUAGCGGCGAGCGAACGGGGAGCAGCCCAGAGUCUGAAUCAGCUUGUGUGUUAGUGGAACGGUCUGGAAAGUCCGACGGUACAGGGUGAUAGUCCCGUACACCAAAAUGCACAGGCUGUGAACUCGAAGAGUAGGGCGGGACACGUGGUAUCCUGUCUGAAUAUGGGGGGACCAUCCUCCAAGGCUAAAUACUCCUGACUGACCGAUAGUGAACCAGUACCGUGAGGGAAAGGCGAAAAGAACCCCGGCGAGGGGAGUGAAAAAGAACCUGAAACCGUGUACGUACAAGCAGUGGGAGCACCUUCGGGUGUGACUGCGUACCUUUUGUAUAAUGGGUCAGCGACUUAUAUUCUGUAGCAAGGUUAACCGUAUAGGGGAGCCGCAGGGAAACCGAGUCUUAACUGGGCGUUAAGUUGCAGGGUAUAGACCCGAAACCCGGUGAUCUAGCCAUGGGCAGGUUGAAGGUUGGGUAACACUAACUGGAGGACCGAACCGACUAAUGUUGAAAAAUUAGCGGAUGACUUGUGGCUGGGGGUGAAAGGCCAAUCAAACCGGGAGAUAGCUGGUUCUCCCCGAAAGCUAUUUAGGUAGCGCCUCGUGAAUUCAUCUUCGGGGGUAGAGCACUGUUUCGGCUAGGGGGUCAUCCCGACUUACCAACCCGAUGCAAACUACGAAUACCGAAGAAUGUUAUCACGGGAGACACACGGCGGGUGCUAACGUCCGUCGUGAAGAGGGAAACAACCCAGACCGCCAGCUAAGGUCCCAAAGUCAUGGUUAAGUGGGAAACGAUGUGGGAAGGCACAGACAGCCAGGAUGUUGGCUUAGAAGCAGCCAUCAUUUAAAGAAAGCGUAAUAGCUCACUGGUCGAGUCGGCCUGCGCGGAAGAUGUAACGGGGCUAAACCAUGCACCGAAGCUGCGGCAGCGACACUAUGUGUUGUUGGGUAGGGGAGCGUUCUGUAAGCCUGCGAAGGUGACCUGUGAGGGUUGCUGGAGGUAUCAGAAGUGCGAAUGCUGACAUAAGUAACGAUAAAGCGGGUGAAAAGCCCGCUCGCCGGAAGACCAAGGGUUCCUGUCCAACGUUAAUCGGGGCAGGGUGAGUCGACCCCUAAGGCGAGGCCGAAAGGCGUAGUCGAUGGGAAACAGGUUAAUAUUCCUGUACUUGGUGUUACUGCGAAGGGGGGACGGAGAAGGCUAUGUUAGCCGGGCGACGGUUGUCCCGGUUUAAGCAUGUAGGCUGGUUAUCCAGGCAAAUCCGGAUAAUCAAGGCUGAGGUGUGAUGACGAGGCACUACGGUGCUGAAGUAACAAAUGCCCUGCUUCCAGGAAAAGCCUCUAAGCAUCAGGUAACAUCAAAUCGUACCCCAAACCGACACAGGUGGUCAGGUAGAGAAUACCAAGGCGCUUGAGAGAACUCGGGUGAAGGAACUAGGCAAAAUGGUGCCGUAACUUCGGGAGAAGGCACGCUGGUGUGUAGGUGAAGUCCCUGCGGAUGGAGCUGAGACCAGUCGAAGAUACCAGCUGGCUGCAACUGUUUAUUAAAAACACAGCACUGUGCAAACACGAAAGUGGACGUAUACGGUGUGACGCCUGCCCGGUGCCGGAAGGUUAAUUGAUGGGGUUAUCCGUAAGGAGAAGCUCUUGAUCGAAGCCCCGGUAAACGGCGGCCGUAACUAUAACGGUCCUAAGGUAGCGAAAUUCCUUGUCGGGUAAGUUCCGACCUGCACGAAUGGCGUAAUGAUGGCCAGGCUGUCUCCACCCGAGACUCAGUGAAAUUGAACUCGCUGUGAAGAUGCAGUGUACCCGCGGCAAGACGGAAAGACCCCGUGAACCUUUACUAUAGCUUGACACUGAACAUUGAGCCUUGAUGUGUAGGAUAGGUGGGAGGCUUUGAAGCGUGGACGCCAGUCUGCGUGGAGCCAACCUUGAAAUACCACCCUUUAAUGUUUGAUGUUCUAACGUUGGCCCCUUACCGGGGUUGCGGACAGUGUCUGGUGGGUAGUUUGACUGGGGCGGUCUCCUCCCAAAGCGUAACGGAGGAGCACGAAGGUUAGCUAAUCCUGGUCGGACAUCAGGAGGUUAGUGCAAUGGCAUAAGCUAGCUUGACUGCGAGCGUGACGGCGCGAGCAGGUGCGAAAGCAGGUCAUAGUGAUCCGGUGGUUCUGAAUGGAAGGGCCAUCGCUCAACGGAUAAAAGGUACUCCGGGGAUAACAGGCUGAUACCGCCCAAGAGUUCAUAUCGACGGCGGUGUUUGGCACCUCGAUGUCGGCUCAUCACAUCCUGGGGCUGAAGUAGGUCCCAAGGGUAUGGCUGUUCGCCAUUUAAAGUGGUACGCGAGCUGGGUUUAGAACGUCGUGAGACAGUUCGGUCCCUAUCUGCCGUGGGCGCUGGAGAAUUGAGGGGGGGCUGCUCCUAGUACGAGAGGACCGGAGUGGACGCAUCACUGGUGUUCGGGUUGUCAUGCCAAUGGCACUGCCCGGUAGCUAAAUGCGGAAGAGAUAAGUGCUGAAAGCAUCUAAGCACGAAACUUGCCCCGAGAUGAGUUCUCCCUGAGACUUUAAGUCUCCUGAAGGAACGUUAAAGACGAUGACGUUGAUAGGCCGGGUGUGUAAGCGCAGCGAUGCGUUGAGCUAACCGGUACUAAUGAACCGUGAGGCUUAACCUUACAACGCCGAAG